rnacentral:rRNA from 1 species
GCAUAACGUCGCAAGACCAAAGAGGGGGACCUUCGGGCCUCUUGCCAUCGGAUGUGCCCAGAUGGGAUUAGCUAGUAGGUGGGGUAACGGCUCACCUAGGCGACGAUCCCUAGCUGGUCUGAGAGGAUGACCAGCCACACUGGAACUGAGACACGGUCCAGACUCCUACGGGAGGCAGCAGUGGGGAAUAUUGCACAAUGGGCGCAAGCCUGAUGCAGCCAUGCCGCGUGUAUGAAGAAGGCCUUCGGGUUGUAAAGUACUUUCAGCGGGGAGGAA